rnacentral:tRNA from 1 species
AGCCCUGAGGUGUUCAACAUAUUAGAUUGCAAAUCUUAAGUAGUAGACUAGCCGUCUACCGGGGCUU